rnacentral:rRNA from 1 species
CGGAUGAACGCGUGGCGGCGUGCCUAACACAUGCAAGUCGAGCGAUUCUCUUCGGAGAAGAGCGGCGGACGGGUGAGUAACGCGUGGGUAACCUGCCCUGUACACACGGAUAACAUACCGAAAGGUAUGCUAAUACGAGAUAAUAUACUUUUAUCGCAUGGUAGAAGUAUCAAAGCUUUUGCGGUACAGGAUGGACCCGCGUCUGAUUAGCUAGUUGGUAAGGUAACGGCUUACCAAGGCGACGAUCAGUAGCCGACCUGAGAGGGUGAUCGGCCACAUUGGAACUGAGACACGGUCCAAACUCCUACGGGAGGCAGCAGUGGGGAAUAUUGCACAAUGGGCGAAAGCCUGAUGCAGCAACGCCGCGUGAGCGAUGAAGGAUUUCGGUCUGUAAAACUCUGUUGUUCAUGACGAACGUUUCCUGGGUGAACAAUCCAGGGAAGUGACGGUAGUGAACGAGGAAGCCACGGCUAACUACGUG